rnacentral:misc_RNA from 1 species
UCAGUCACGUUCCUUUUAUCCAUUCGUACCUCAACCAACCAGCCAACCGACCAACUUAUAAAUCAAGAAACGAAUGAAUCUGCCAAUAAAGCCAUCACUUAUUGCUUCUCUGUAUCUAUAUCGGUUGAUAAUUAUAAUCGAACGUUCGACCAAGACAGACAGUAAUCAAUAAAUGCAUCCGCAUCUACAGGAUUGCAUCCCUCACCAGUGUUACCAGUCUACUCCGCGACCAAGUUUGGUGUGGUGGGCUACUCCAGAGCCCUGGCGCGGUCCCCAAUGUUGAACAGACAGGGAGUACGCGUGAACACCGUGUGUCCAGCAAUGAUAAAGACUCCAAAGACCAAGACGAAGUUCACCCCUGACCAACUUUCCCCGACAGCCAGCGUGGAGGAUGUGAUGGCAGAGUGGAAGAUGACCAGACUGAGGAACGGAGUGAUGACAGCCGAGUACGUUGCUCAGCAGACGAUGGACCUCAUAACAGACAGAAACAUGAAUGGCGCCAUUGUUCACUUGUCACAGAAGACAGGUAGAUCGUAUGUGGACGUGGAACAUGACUUCGGAACAGAUAUUAUGGAUAACGACCAACAAUAAAGAUGGAUUUUUGUCAA